GAAAGCGCAUCUUAAUCGUUGAACAAAACCGCACCAAUUAGUAGACAACAGCUCGUAUUGUAUUGAACCAAACGCAGCGUUUAGGACUUUUUUCGAUGUUGUGAAGUGAGUGAAUUUUGUUGAGAGAGAGAAGACAUUUUAGAUCUGAUAGAGAGACGAGAGAGUGAAGGUGGGAGAGAGAGUGAUCGUGUUUGCCAGACCGGUUUCAGCCUGCCCUGCACCUGAAAUCUGAUGACAGCAGAUUUAGCUUUUGGAUCCGUUUGAUCCUGCGGGAACAAGGAAAGUUCAGUUCCGUUUCCCAGAAUUUGGCAAAUCCAGGCCAAAUUCUAGCGUCAUAGCGUCCCGGUCAUCUUGACAUCACAUAGCAACCGUUCACCUCCCCAGGUAUUCGCCCAGCUAAAUUACCAUGGCCUCUUUAUUUGGUAUUGAUGAGUGAUCCGUCGGCAGUAACACCGACUGGAGAGGAGUCUACCAUUGACUAGCAACCUAUAGACAAGGCGUUGAAGCAUGGUACUGAUGUAGCGUGUAUGGAGACCAGUCCUGCAGCCUAGUGGGCAACUUGAGGCUUCAACAUCGGUUUGGAGAGUAUCAAAAAUAAGCUUUAUUGAAUCUGUGAAGCAUAAGAAUUAAGUACAACUGGUGUAGUUU